GCUUACGGGCACACCGCCUGGUUCACGCCCGAUCUCGUUUGAUCUCGGAAGCUAAGAUAGGUUGGGCCUGGUAAGUACUUGGAUGGAGACCGCCUGGGAAUACCAGGUGCUGUGCUUU
rnacentral:rRNA from 1 species